GCCACGCCUCCGCCCCCACGCCGGUCGAUCCGCACGCCUCCCACCGCCGCCCGACGCCGACCAGGGCUUCCUCCGAUUGAUCCCCACCCCGUUCCACCGCCGCCCAACGCCAUCGAUCUUGCCCCUCCAGCCGUGGUGAAGCACUCCCCGGAGGCGCUGCUGCUCGUGGUGUCCAACCCCGUCGACGUCCUCGCCUACCUCGCCUUGAAGCUUCCAGGGUUGUGUUCGAGGUGAGCGGCGACAUCUGCUCCGGUACCAACCUCGAUGUCCCCAGGAUCUGGUUCCUCAUCAACGAGCCCUCCUCCAUCAACGCGCAGGACGUGCAGGAUUCCCAGCCCACCCCAGCAUCCCCUUCAACCCCAAACCGGUUUACUGUUGCGCCUCUGCAACCUUACAGGCUGCCACACUCGAUGCAGCAGCUAGCAGCAGGGCCCAUUGUCGUCACCGUGCAUCCCAGGUUCAUCUGCUUGCUGCUGUUUCGGCCAUCGCUGAAACCAACCAGGAGUUAGUGGCCUCAAAGCACCAAGCUCAAGCGCCUCUCCUUCAUCAGGUAAAAUAUCAACCUGAAAAUCGUCUAGGAAGCAGGGUACAUCCCCAAGAGCCCCAAUUGCAGGGCGAACCUGGGCACCCCAGGUCAUUUACUUAGAAGAUGAGCACUCCACCAGGCUGUUUGUAGUAAACAACUUUGGCGAUGCUCACGACAGGCAGUGACGCUAUGUGAUGGUGUCGAGCGUUGGGUAGGAAAGCAGAACAUCAUCAACUCUGCCUCACCUCUUCCACUAGUGUUGUCCGAUGAUGUUCAAGCUGGAGGAUGUUCUGCAAUGAGAUGUAGAAUGAAGGCUUUGAUGUCAAGUACAAGAAAGAUGCAAGGAUGUUGGUGGAAGGCUGUGAGGAUGGGUAUGUAGUUGCCCACUACAAGGAGCCAAGGCAGAUGAUGUGCCUCUUAGAAAAAUUCCAGUAAACAACACUAGGAAUUUUUGCUCUCAGACA